rnacentral:rRNA from 1 species
UUGUUGGUGGGGUGAUGGCCUACCAAGGCUUCGACGGGUAGCCGGCCUGAGAGGGUGACCGGCCACACUGGGACUGAGACACGGCCCAGACUCCUACGGGAGGCAGCAGUGGGGAAUAUUGGACAAUGGGCGAAAGCCUGAUCCAGCAACGCCGCGUGAGGGAUGACGGCCUUCGGGUUGUAAACCUCUUUCAGCGCAGACGAAGCGAAAGUGACGGUAUGCGCAGAAGAAGCACCGGCCAACUACGUGCCAGCAGCCGCGGUAAUACGUAGGGUGCGAGCGUUGUCCGGAAUUAUUGGGCGUAAAGGGCUCGUAGGCGGUCUGUUGCGUCAGGAGUGAAAACUCGGGGCUUAACCCCGAGCCUGCUUCUGAUACGGGCAGACUAGAGGUAUGCAGGGGAGAACGGAAUUCCUGGUGUAGCGGUGAAAUGCGCAGAUAUCAGGAGGAACACCGGUGGCGAAGGCGGUUCUCUGGGCAUUACCUGACGCUGAGGAGCGAAAGUGUGGGGAGCGAACAGGAUUAGAUACCCUGGUAGUCCACACCGUAAACGUUGGGCGCUAGGUGUGGGACUCAUUCCACGAGUUCCGUGCCGCAGCUAACGCAUUAAGCGCCCCGCCUGGGGAGUACGG